rnacentral:rRNA from 1 species
AUUGAACGCUGGCGGCAGGCCUAACACAUGCAAGUCGAGCGAGCGGCGGACGGGUGAGUAAUGUCUGGGAAACUGCCUGAUGGGGGGGGCUAACUACUGGAAACGGUAGCUAAUACCGCAUACCAUCAGAUGUGCCCAGGUGGGAUUAGCUAGUAGGUGGGGUAACGGCUCACCUAGGCGACGAUCCCUAGCUGGUCUGAGAGGAGGACCAGCCACACUGGAACUGAGACACGGGCCAGACUCCGACGGGAGGCAGCAGUGGGGAAUAUUGCACAAUGGGCGCAAGCCUGAUGCAGCCAUGCCGCGUGUGUGAAGAAGGCCGUCGGGUUGUAAAGCACUGUAAGCGGGGAGGCGUUACCAGCAGAAGAAGCACCGGCUAACUCCGUGCCAGCAGCCGCGGUAAUUC